rnacentral:lncRNA from 1 species
CUGCUGUUACUGGAGUGCUAGCAUCAUCUCUCUCCCCUAAAGUACACUGACAGCCUCCUCACUGACCUACUUGCUUCCAGAUCACCCCUUCUAAUCCUGUCUCCACUCUGCAGCCAGAGAAUGUUUAAACCUAACCACAUCCCUGCCCUGCUUGACCCCCAUUGUGUGCAACAGAGGUACCACAAGGUAUUCAGGACUUUCCACCAUCUUAUCCUUGCUAGCGAUCCAGCCACCUUCCAACUCCAAGCCCCUAUUUCCGAAGGGCCUUGGCUCCAUUCCUCCAUUCUGUGAACAUGCCAUGUUCAUGUUCUUUCUGCACCACCCUUCCCUCUUUCACUUCUCUAGUUAGCCUGUGUUCACCCUUUAAGGCCUAGCUCGAUACGUCCUUCUUGGUGAAAUCUUCCUCAUCCCCAUAGACAGAUUUAGAGGCUCCUUCCUCUGGGUUCCCAAGCCCCCUGGCACAGGAUCUCUUGUGCUGUGCUGCAGCCAAUUCUAUGACUGUGUUCUCUGCUCCGUUUUGAGUUCCUAGAGGAAAGGGAUG